UUUAAUUCGAUGCAACGCGAAGAACCUUACCUGGUCUUGACAUCCACGGAAGUUUUCAGAGAUGAGAAUGUGCCUUCGGGAACCGUGAGACAGGUGCUGCAUGGCUGUCGUCAGCUCGUGUUGUGAAAUGUUGGGUUAAGUCCCGCAACGAGCGCAACCCUUAUCCUUUGUUGCCAGCGGUCCGGCCGGGAACUCAAAGGAGACUGCCAGUGAUAAACUGGAGGAAGGUGGGGAUGACGUCAAGUCAUCAUGGCCCUUACGACCAGGGCUACACACGUGCUACAAUGGCGCAUACAAAGAGAAGCGACCUCGCGAGAGCAAGCGGACCUCAUAAAGUGCGUCGUAGUCCGGAUUGGAGUCUGCAACUCGACUCCAUGAAGUCGGAAUCGCUAGUAAU
rnacentral:rRNA from 1 species